UACGUAGGGGGCAAGCGUUGUCCGGAUUUAUUGGGCGUAAGGAGCGUGUAGGCGGUUUGGUAGGUCCGCUGUGAAAACUCGAGGCUCAACCUCGAGACGCCGGUGGAAACCAUCAGACUAGAGUCCGGAAGAGGAGAGUGGAAUUCCUGGUGUAGCGGUGAAAUGCGCAGAUAUCAGGAGGAACACCAAUGGCGAAGGCAGCUCGCUGGGACGUGACUGACGCUGAGACGCGAAAGCGUGGGGAGCAAACAGG
rnacentral:rRNA from 1 species